rnacentral:rRNA from 1 species
GUGUCAGCCGCCGCGGUAAUACGGAGGGUGCGAGCGUUGUCCGGAAUCACUGGGCGUAAAGGGCGCGUAGGCGGCCUGGUAAGUCGGAUGUCAAAUUCCGGGGCUCAACUCCGGGGCGCCAUCCGAGACUGUCAGGCUCGAGCACGGCAGGGGCGAGUGGAAUUCCCGGUGUAGCGGUGGAAUGCGUAGAGAUCGGGAAGAACACCCGUGGCGAAGGCGGCUCGCUGGGCCGUUGCUGACGCUGAGGCGCGAAAGCGUGGGGAGCAAACAGGAUUAGAAACCCCUGUAGUCC